UACGUAGGGGGCUAGCGUUGUCCGGAAUCAUUGGGCGUAAAGAGCGUGUAGGCGGUCCGGUAAGUCCGCUGUGAAAGUCGGGGGCUCAACCCUCGAAUGCCGGUGGAUACUGUCGGGCUAGAGUGCGGAAGAGGCGAGUGGAAUUCCUGGUGUAGCGGUGAAAUGCGCAGAUAUCAGGAGGAACACCUAUUGCGAAGGCAGCUUGCUGGGCUACUCCUGACACUGAGGUACGAAAGCGUGGGGAGCGAACAGG
rnacentral:rRNA from 1 species